rnacentral:rRNA from 1 species
UACGAAGGGGGCUAGCGUUGUCCUGAUUUAUUGGGCGUAAAGAGCUCGUAGGCGGUUCCGUAAGUCGUGAAGUCAAAUCUCUGGGCUCAACCCAGAAUCGCUUCCGAUACUGCGGUGACUGGAGUCCGGUAGGGGAGUGUGGAAUUCCUGGUGUAGCGGUGAAAUGCGCAGAUAUCGGGAGGAACACCUGUGGCGAAAGCGGCGCACUGGACCAUAACUGACGCUGAGGCGCGAAAGCUAGGGGAGCAAACAGG